rnacentral:rRNA from 1 species
GACGAACGCUGGCGGCGUGCUUAACACAUGCAAGUCGGGCGGUAAGGCCCUUUCGGGGGUACACGAGCGGCGAACGGGUGAGUAACACGUGGGUGACCUGCCCUCAGCUCUGGGAUAAGCCUGGGAAACCGGGUCUAAUACCGGAUAUGACUCCAUGACGCAUGUUGUGGGGUGGAAAGCCUUGUGCGGCUGAGGAUGGGCCCGCGGCCUAUCAGCUUGUUGGUGGGGUNAUGGCCUACCAAGGCGACGACGGGUAGCCGGCCUGAGAGGGCGACCGGCCACACUGGGACUGAGACACGGCCCAGACUCCUACGGGAGGCAGCAGGUGGGGAAUCUUGCGCAAUGGGCGAAAGCCUGACGCAGCGACGCCGCGUGAGGGAUGACGGCCU